GCCUGUGGGCAAUGGGCACGAAUUACCCCUGGGAACUCCGAAAUCGGCGGCUAGCACGGCGGCAGGAGAAGCACACACAGGAGCAGAAAGCAAUGAGGCCUAUUUUGGUCUGUAAUCCAGACGAUCUGGUCAGAUUCCAGCUUUGCUUCACCAGGAGAUCCACGUAUGACCUUGAGAAAGUCACCAACCAUGAUGCUUCUGUCUCAUCAUCUCUAAACGGAGACUGUAUAAUGACUCAACCUCCUCAGCCCAUUUGAUUCUAAAAUACUAUUAUUCAAUGUCGGUGACUCUAAGAAAUGUACAGACUAGAAGAUCCAAUGCAAGUUCUAUUUAAAGUUUCUUCAAAGAAAAAAAAUGACCUCUAUUAAAACUAAAAUAAUAAAUUUAUUAUUAAUC